AACCCGGGCGUCAGGGCUGCCAGCGCGUUCCCAGAACCCUGGCGUCCACCCCCACCCUGUCCUGUCACCACCGCCUGCCUCCCCCACCGACUGCCCCACGCGACCCCAGAGUGCCAAGGGCCGGCUCCAUGUCUCUUCUCCCCGGCGCCUGCAAGUCCUGCGCCCCGUCCCCGCUCUCAUGAAGCCGUGACAGAGCCGGCCGUCUCCACCCCGCUGUAGCCGCACAGACUGACAAUCUCGGCACAAAGAGGAGACAGCCAAGGUCCGGGCCAGGGACGGGAGCAAGGACAGGGGCGAGGAGACACCCACUCCCCAAGUCUGAGCCCCUCAGUCAACUCACAGGCCGCGGGACCCCCGGGGGAGGGGGUGCGGAGGAGCCGGGCGUCCAGAGAGAGGAAGAGGAGGAGAGAGGGACCGAGGG
rnacentral:lncRNA from 1 species